UACAGAGGGUGCGAGCGUUAAUCGGAAUUACUGGGCGUAAAGCGUGCGUAGACGGUUAUUUAAGUCGGAUGUGAAAGCCCCGGGCUCAACCUGGGAAUUGCAUUCGAGACUGAAUAGCUAGGGUGCGGUAGAGGGAAGCGGAAUUCCGGUGUAGCGGUGAAAUGCGUAGAUAUUCGGAAGAACACCAGUGGCGAAGGCGACUUA
rnacentral:rRNA from 1 species